GACGUAGGGCGCGAGCGUUGUCCGGAUUUAUUGGGUUUAAAGGGUGCGUAGGCGGUCUUAUAAGUCAGUGCUGAAGUAUCCCGGCUUAACCGGGAGGGUGGCAUUGAUACUGUAGGACUUGAGUAAAGUUGAGGUUGGCGGAAUUGACGGUGUAGCGGUGAAAUGCUUAGAUAUCGUCAAGAACACCUAUUGCGAAGGCAGCUAACUAAGCUUUAACUGACGCUGAGGCACGAAAGUGUGGGGAUCAAACAGG
rnacentral:rRNA from 1 species